UGGGAAUUUGGACAAUGGGCGAAAGCCUGAUCCAGCAAUGCCGCGUGUGUGAAGAAGGCCUUCGGGUUGUAAAGCACUUUUGUCCGGAAAGAAAUCCUUGGCUCUAAUACAGUCGGGGGAUGACGGUACCGGAAGAAUAAGCACCGGCUAACUACGUGCCAGCAGCCGCGGUAAUACGUAGGGUGCAAGCGUUAAUCGGAAUUACUGGGCGUAAAGCGUGCGCAGGCGGUUUGCUAAGACCGAUGUGAAAAUCCCCGGGCUCAACCUGGGAACUGCAUUGGUGACUGGCAGGCUAGAGUAUGGCAGAGGGGGGUAGAAUUCCACGUGUAGCAGUGAAAUGCGUAGAGAUGUGGAGGAAUACCGAUGGCGAAGGCAGCCCCCUGGGCCAAUACUGACGCUCAUGCACGAAAGCGUGGGGAGCAAACAGGAUUAGAUACCCUGGUAGUCCACGCCCUAAACGAUGUCAACUAGUUGUUGGGGAUUCAUUCCUUAGUAACGUAGCUAACGCGUGAAGUUGACCGCCUGGGGAGUACGGUCGCAAGAUUAAAACUUAAAUGAAUUGACGGGGUCAUAGCUG
rnacentral:rRNA from 1 species